AGUGAACGCUGGCGGUAGGCCUAAUACAUGCAAGUCGAACGGCAGCACAGUAAGAGCUUGCUCUUACGGGUGGCGAGUGGCGGACGGGUGAGGAAUACAUCGGAAUCUACUUUUUCGUGGGGGAUAACGUAGGGAAACUUACGCUAAUACCGCAUACGACCUACGGGUGAAAGCAGGGGAUCUUCGGACCUUGCGCGAUUGAAUGAGCCGAUGUCGGAUUAGCUAGUUGGCGGGGUAAAGGCCCACCAAGGCGACGAUCCGUAGCUGGUCUGAGAGGAUGAUCAGCCACACUGGACCUGAGACACGGUACAGACUCCUACGGGAGGCAGCAGUGGGGAAUAUUGGACAAUGGGAGCAAGCCUGAUCCAGCCAUACCGAGUGGGUGAAGAAGGCCUUCGGGUUGUAAAGCCCUUUUGUUGGGAAAGAAAAGCAGCAGGUUAAUACCCCGCUGUUCUGACGGUACCCAAAGAAUAAGCACCGGCUAACUUCGUG
rnacentral:rRNA from 1 species